GGGGAUAUGGCGGAAUUGGUAGACGCUGCGGACUUAUUUUUUGAGCUUUUUUUAAGAAAAUUAAAAAAAUGUAGAAACCCUAAAUCGAGGAAACCUUUUUGAUAACCUCGAGCUAGUAGAAAUACGAGUGUAGAGACUUUACAGGUUAAACCUAAAAAAUUUGUCAAUAAUUUUGGUAAAGAGAAAGUCCCAUUUUCUUUGUUCUAUAAGUAUAAAAUACUUAUUUUUAAAGAAAUUAGAAAAUCCGUUGAUUUUAAAAAAUCGUGAGGGUUCAAGUCCCUCUAUCCCCA